rnacentral:rRNA from 1 species
AGAGUUUGAUCAUGGCUCAGAUUGAACGCUGGCGGCAUGCCUAACACAUGCAAGUCGAACGCGAAAGGGGGCAACCCUGAGUAGAGUGGCGGACGGGUGAGGAACGCAUCGGAAUUUACCUCGAGAUGGGGGAUAACCAAGGGAAACUUUGGCUAAUACCGCAUGAUCUCGCGAGAGCAAAGAGGGGGACCGCAAGGCCUCUUGUCUUGAGAUGAGCCGAUGUCCGAUUAGCUAGUUGGUAGGGUAAAGGCCUACCAAGGCGACGAUCGGUAGCUGGUCUGAGAGGAUGAUCAGCCACAUUGGGACUGAGACACGGCCCAAACUCCUACGGGAGGCAGCAGUGGGGAAUAUUGGACAAUGGGCGCAAGCCUGAUCCAGCAAUGCCGCGUGUGUGAAGAAGGCCUGCGGGUUGUAAAGCACUUUUGUCCGGAAAGAAAUUGUCCGGGUUAAUACCCUGGAUGGAUGACGGUACCGAAGAAUAG